CUCCCCCAACUGUCAUGCCCUCCUGUCGUGACAGGGAGCGCCCCCAUCACACGUGUGUCCCCGGGCCCCUAGGCACUACACCAUAUCAGAGGGGCGAAGGGGCGGAGGCUCCUGACAGCAGUGAGAUAUUUUCACGGGCCGCUUUCCAGAGGAAAAAGACGCUUCGGAGAAGCAGCCGAACCCUGUUAACGUCUCUGCUUUAAGAAACAUAAGGAAGAAGUCAGGAGCCGCAUCGCCUUCCGUCAAGACACCUGCGGGACCCGAUUUAAUUUCUGCUGCCGUGGACGACGGAGCCGGGAAUUCUCACGGGAGGCCUUUCGAAGGAGGAGGUGCUAAGUACAUCACGUCCAAAAUUAACACGGCCUUCCAAUCUACGCGCCAAUUCAAAACCCGAUUUAACAGCCUGCUCUUACCGAAGUCAAUUGGCGAGCAUUCCAUUAUAAACACAGAUGAAAUCCCCCCCCAUCUACCAGAUAAAUAAUUUUCUCCCCACACCUAAGCGGCACGCAUUAACUUAACGGGUAAUGAUCUAAAUUAUGUAUUAAACUCAAUUACUUUUU